GAUGAACGCUGGCGGCGUGCCUAAUACAUGCAAGUCGAACGCAUAGCGAAAGGUGCUUGCACCUUUCAAGUGAGUGGCGAACGGGUGAGUAACACGUUGACAACCUGCCUCAAGGCUGGGGAUAACAUUUGGAAACAGAUGCUAAUACCGAAUAAAACUUAGUGUCGCAUGACACAAAGUUAAAAGGCGCUUCGGCGUCACCUAGCGAUGGAUCCGCGGUGCAUUAGUUAGUUGGUGGGGUAAAGGCCUACCAAGACAAUGAUGCAUAGCCGAGUUGAGAGACUGAUCGGCCACAUUGGGACUGAGACACGGCCCAAACGCCUACGGGAGGCUGCAGUAGGGAAUCUUCCACAAUGGGCGAAAGCCUGAUGGAGCAACGCCGCGUGUGUGAUGAAGGCUUUCGGGUCGUAAAGCACUGUUGUAUGGGAAGAACAGCUAGAAUAGGAAAUGAUUUUAGUUUGACGGUACCAUACCAGAAAGGGACGGCUAAAUACGUG
rnacentral:rRNA from 1 species